rnacentral:rRNA from 1 species
GAUGAACGCUGGCGGCAUGCCUAAUACAUGCAAGUCGAGCGAACAGACGAGGAGCUUGCUCCUCUGACGUUAGCGGCGGACGGGUGAGUAACACGUGGAUAACCUACCUAUAAGACUGGGAUAACUUCGGGAAACCGGAGCUAAUACCGGAUAACAUGUUGAACCGCAUGGUUCAACAGUGAAAGACGGUCUUGCUGUCACUUAUAGAUGGAUCCGCGCCGCAUUAGCUAGUUGGUAAGGUAACGGCUUACCAAGGCAACGAUGCGUAGCCGACCUGAGAGGGUGAUCGGCCACACUGGAACUGAGACACGGUCCAGACUCCUACGGGAGGCAGCAGUAGGGAAUCGUCCGCAAUGGGAGAAAGCCUGACGGAGCAACGCCGCGUGAGUGAAGAAGGUCUUCGGAUCGUAAAACUCUGUUAUUAGGGAAGAACAAAUGUGUAAGUAACGAUGCACGUCUUGACGGUACCUAAUCAGAAAGCCACGGCUAACUACGUG